UGGUAGUGCACUGGAAGGAGUAGGGGUUC
rnacentral:piRNA from 1 species